rnacentral:rRNA from 1 species
UACGGGGGGUGCAAGCGUUAUCCGGAUUCACUGGGUUUAAAGGGUGCGUAGGCGGCUUGAUAAGUCAGUGGUGAAAGCCCGCAGCUUAACUGCGGAAUUGCCAUUGAAACUGCCAAGCUUGAAUCUGGUUGAAGUGGGCGGAAUAUAUCAUGUAGCGGUGAAAUGCUUAGAUAUGAUGUAGAACACCGAUUGCGAAGGCAGCUCACUAAGCCAACAUUGACGCUGAGGCACGAAAGCGUGGGGAGCGGACAGG